rnacentral:SRP_RNA from 1 species
GAUUGGGGUUCAUGCGAGAGGUUCUGUGAACCCGGUCAGGCCCGGAAGGGAGCAGCCGCAGCAGAUAACUUCUGUGAUAUGUUCUCCAGUCGCA